GUUGAGCAUCCAUGGCGGGCCAUAGAGUCGUCCAGGCAACUAGUAAAUAAGCCAACUAGCUAAAGCUUACAAUGUAAUUGGGGAAAACAGCGUCGUACAUUACAAAGCAAAGCUUCGUUUGCUGCUCUAAUUUGAAUUGAAUAAUUUUUACCGAGCAUGCUUUAACUCCCCUUACAUCAUUGAUCCCAUUUCCUUCACAUUAUUGUCCCCACACACCCUCAUGAUUGAUCUUAGCUUGGCCAUUUACUAUUUAAUUAAAUUACAUAACACUAGCAUAUGGGGUAUUGGUAAUCCAAAAUAAUUUCUUGAUAAAUAAAUUUAUGUCCUAAAGUUUUGAGACUAAAGGAGAUUCUAUUUAAUACACUAAGAAAUUAGAUAACAGUAUCAUCACAGAAUAAAAACAUACGAAAGUUAACUCUCAUUGGAAUCACAACUAGCUGGUGAAAGCUCAAGAGAUACUGGACAGUGGUCGCUUCCGUAGAAACCUUGUAAUUCAAUUCCUUUCCCAUGCAUCUCGCACAAAAUAAUCCUAUCUUUGAGUUUCUCUGAAACUAUGAAAUAAUCAAUUCUCAUCCUUUUCCCUCGAUACUUUCCAAUGGGGUUCCCAGACCAUGAGAAGCCACACUCCAUGUCCUUCUCCUUGUGCAAAAAUCUAUAUGCAUCUAUCAGCUUUCCCUCUCUCAGAAUGGCACCAAAGCGCUUUCUCUCAUUCAAGGUAAAGCCAGGCUGCCCACAAUCCUCUUUGUCUGGAGGAAUAUAACCAUUUUGCUUUGCUGCGCUGAAAAAUUCAGGGUGACUCACAUCAAUCUCUUCAUGGCUAACAUUCAGAUCACCACACCAUAUAAGAGGCUUGUCUGAUAAUUGCACGACAAACUCUAGCAUCCUUUUGUCCCAUUUUCUUCUCCUUUGAAAUGAAUUCUCUUCUUUCCAGCCAUUGUUUGGUGCAUAUGUAUUCAAUAAACGAAAUGUCUCAAAUUCAGCUAAAAUAACACGGCCAUCUGGUUCAUGUUUUGAAGCUGUUCUGUCGAGAGAGAAAGAAACCUUUAUUGGUUGAUAACACUUCUUUACUAACAAUGCAGUCCCUGCAUACUUUGAAUCUGCAAGGGACCACCAAAUGCGAUAAUUUCCAAAUGGUGGACUGGAAAGAGCACGCAUCAAUAUCUGCUUUUCCUCACGGGAAGAGCUUGUGUCAUCUUUCAACUCUCCUGGGUUUUUAGGCGCACCCUUUGAGCCUGCAGCAGGCAUCCUUACUUCCUGUAUGGCAAUGACAUCAGGGUCAAAGCUAGAGAUGAACUUGGAGAACUCAGGCCAGUAGGUCUUGACUCGAAGAAGAAAGCUAUUGGCGUUCCAUGUUAUAAACUUCAACGGCUCUUUCUUGUUCUCACAGUUCCCCUCUGAUGCAGAUAACUCUCUCUUUUCACCAUCUUCUUGUUUCGCAGAGAGCGCAGGCUUCUUUGCAGACCCAUCUUUCUCUAUUGGCUUGAAAAAGCGCUUCAUCGCAACAACUCUCAAAUCUCAGCCUUUCCACUAGACACAGAGCUCUAUCCCGCAGAUG
rnacentral:misc_RNA from 1 species